CUCCAAUCGCUCUCUACAAGUUAGACACUAGUCAUCAAAGUAUCAUACAGAAUCACAGGAAGUGGGAAAAGGGGGGUGGAAACAAAUGGACAAACUGCAGCUUGUGGCAUGUUAUCAAUCCAGACUGAUAUUUGAGCAGCACCACAACAGCAGAUAAAUGAACAGUUUAGGGGUCAACUUUUAGUUUAGAACAUACAGCCAUGCAUUCUGAGGUAUUGCAGGUACAUGAACGUAGAUUCGAUCCUAACGGAACUGUUUCAUUUAACAUGUACUAAGACGUCAAAGAAGACGUCUUCCCUUGUCUCAUUCCUGUUGAUGAAACUAUAUCCAUUCUUGACAUUGAACCACUUGACUAUACCUUUGUGACAUACAGUGUAAAAGUGAAAGGGAACAGUACACACCUCAGAGAGACACUACACACCUCAUCAAGGGUCCUUAGGAGUGAGGAGGGUUCAUCCACAGUAGCCUGAGAACUGUUCUGUCUUUGGUAGGCUAGGUGGUUACCAGGUUGGUGUGUCCAUUAAACUGUUCUGUCUUUGGUAGGCUAGGUGGUUACCAGGUUGGUGUGUCCAUUAAACUGUUCUGUCUUUGGUAGGCUAGUUGGUUACCAAGUUGGUGUGUCCAUUAAACUGUUCUGUCUUUGGUAGGCUAGGUGGUUACCAAGUUGGUGUGUCCAUUAAACUGUUCUGUCUUUGGUAGGCUAGGUGGUUACCAAGUUUGUGUGUCCAUCAGAAUCUCUUGACUUGUUCAACACAAUGAUGAGGGGGAUGGUUAGCAUCUCUUGUCUUGAUACAUUUAAAAAAAAUAUUUAAAACAUCCAAUAUACUUGCAGUGAAGCCACUCAACAACCACAUCACACCAGUCAACUAACAGACUCCAAUCCAGAGCGAUAC
ensembl:lncRNA